rnacentral:rRNA from 1 species
UACAUGGGGUGCAAACGUUGCUCGGAAUUAUUGGGCGUAAAGCGCACGUAGGUGGUCUGUUAUGUCGGAUGUGAAAGCCCUCGGCUUAACUGAGGAAGUGCAUCCGAAACUGGCAGGCUUGAGUACGAAAGAGGGUCGCGGAAUUCCCGGUGUAGAGGUGAAAUGCGUAGAUAUCGGAAGGAACGCCGGUGGCGAAAGCGAGCUGCUGGAUCCCCCCUGACGCUGAGGCGCGAAAGCCAGGGGAGCGAACGGG